UACGUGGGGUGCAAGCGUUGUUCGGAAUUACUGGGCGUAAAGCGUGUGUAGGCGGCCCGCUAAGUCUGAUGUGAAAUCCCUGGGCUUAACCCAGGAACUGCAUCGGAAACUAGCGGGCUCGAGUUCGGGAGAGGGUGGUGGAAUUCCUGGUGUAGAGGUGAAAUUCGUAGAUAUCAGGAGGAACACCGGUGGCGAAGGCGGCCACCUGGACCGAUACUGACGCUGAGACACGAAAGCGUGGGGAGCAAACAGG
rnacentral:rRNA from 1 species